AUUUCCGAACGCCGAAGAGACUGGCUGGGACGCUGCGGUUAUUGUGAACACAAAUAAAUUCGAAAGCCAUCGGGAAUUGAGACAUCUUUAUUUCGCAAGACUAUUGCAUUCGAUCAUACUGUCGCCAAAUUGAAUGCAAACAGCCAAUUCUUGCAUAGCCGUAACUCCUGUCCCAGCGGAGUAUACAAUUUACCUUAUAAAGCUUAUUGUGGAAUAAUUAUAUUUUCACGUGCCACCUUCGUGACACAACUUGAUUACGUUCUGCAUUCAAACAGGACGCCAACCCACUAUUCACCGCCAACGUCGUAACCAUUAUAUCGCCAAAAGGGACGCCAUCCCGCUAGUCUUCGCCAACGUCGUAGCCGUUAUACGCCAAACGGAAUCCUGCUGUUCGUAGCCAACGUCAUAGCUGUUAUAAAUCCAAACGGGACGCCACCCUAUAUAUAAAGUUAUCGGAACAUACAUAUUUUCCAGUAAAGUUCCUUGUGUCGCCGCCAUACUAAAACAAUAAACAACUCAACAAGAAUAAGUAUGCGAAUUCAACAACAAGACAACGUCAAAGAUCAAAGCUUAGACAAUAAUUAUGUCGUAACGGAUCGAAUCAUCAAGUUAGUGCAUCAAAUAAUUCCAGCGCAUCUACUAAAGUUACAGUAGAAAAUCAACAACAAAUGCUUAUUGCCAUGCAAAAGCAGAUCAACGCCCUGAGUACCCAGGAAAGGUUAAAAGAAAGUCAACGCCAGUGUGAACUUUUGACCGCAGAACCAUUCGAAUAUAUCUGUACAGUCAACGUCAACGCAUACAGCCGCCAAGCAUACGGAUACUCAAUGCCCUUAUGAAAGUACUACACAGCCGACUUUGACCGCCUCUUCGAUAGGUACUACGUCUUCAAGUUCAUUACAGUCGCAACCAAAAGUUAACGUUAUACCAGACUGUUUAUAUUUGCUCACACUGCCGACAAAAUUUCAAGAUCUGCCAGAGAUGCUGAAAGGGUGAGGCUAGAGAGAUAGUGCACUCACACCUAACCUUCCGGAUAAUGUUUCUGCCGUUAUGAACACUUUGCGAUUUCGAAUCGCCCGUCGAGAAUUACUCAUUAAAUGUGAGCUACUCGUACGGGAGAUGCCAUAUAUCAGAAUCUGCCACCGACAAAAUAAUCCUGUUCUCCGUCAAAGUAAAACACCUGGCCGAGUUCCUACAAACCAUAAAUGGUCAGCAGCACUUGUGUAACCCAACAUUUUUGGAGAAGCUUGUGGUAAAGCUACCUUUGAGCAAGAAACUCGAGUGAGCAAACACCUCAUCGAUGAUACAGCCAUAUCCCACAAUUAAAGAUUUCAGCUCAUGGAUUAGUUUAGUGGCCGAUCCAAUAUGUACAGUGCAAGAUAGUAGGAGGACUCGUUCAAAUAAACCAAAGCGCUGCGUUCUCCUUCAAGCCGCCAACAAUAUUAGAGAAAUCCUAUGUCCACCGUGCCAUGAUGGACACUACAUCUUGUGGCAUUCAAGUCGCUAAGCGUCCGAGAAACAUAAGCUUCUUCACUUAUGUUUCUCCGGCCUUCAGGGUGGUCAUACCACAAGAGAUUGUCGCCGACCGAAAAUCUGCAAAACAAGCGGAUGCCAAAGAGUACAUAAUAAACUGUUACACGAGCCAUUGAGAAUCAUGUCAAAGCCGCAACCGAUUCUACCUGGACCAACAACGACAACGACAAAACAAAAAGUGUUAUUUAAAAUAGUUUCACAUACAGCAUAAAGCACGUAUUGAGACUUUCGCUCUACUGGAUAAAGGAUCAUCGACAACUAUGGCUGAUUCUUCUUUGAUUGAGAAGCUCGGAGCAAAGGGUUUCCAAAGCGGAGUAUACCUACAGUGGUUGGGUGGAAGAGUUGAUAACGCAACUAUCGUCGCCAUCGAAAUUAGUGGUUCCGGUGUCCAGAAAUAUAUAUGGCAUCAUGUCUACGGUAUCCAAGAUUUACAACUUCCAAUGCAAAAUUUACAGAAAGCUGAUGUAGAUGCAGCUCGUUUGAAAAGGAUGUCGAUUUAAGCGUAGGACAUCGCCGUUCUCAAGUUGCUUAUCGGAUUAGACCACAGUCACUUCGAAAUUCCUAUUGAGAUCGAGAUCCUGCAACACAAGGGCUCUUAUGCGGUCCGUAUGAAGUUAGGUUGGGUCCUUUUGGGCCGACUGACAACUUCAAUAAAACGAAGGCGUCGUGUUUGUAGUGUAAUAGCCGAUUAUGAUAAAAGAGCGCGCCAAAUCCUCGAGUCUACAGUCACACAGUUAACGGGGGUCCACCUCCCCGAAAGCUACUCCAUGGCCGAAAGAAGACUGGUUUGAAUCGAGCCUAAGAUGAAACGAGACCGGAUGAAACAUUUGCCCGAGAGUAUCGUGCAGUCAAAUAGGAUUACAUGACAAAAAUUCUGCCAAAAACCAAAAACGUCUGGAAGAAGCUGCGCUUACAAAUCCAAGAACGUGAUACCUUUCACACUUCGGUGUCAAUGGUUGUUCACUAAACAGUUUCCUGCUAAAGGGCCCAAUUUCCAUCUCCACCGACAUUAAAGAGAUGUUUCUCCAAAGACUUCUUUGCGGGACGGUACCAAAAAGAUCCGCCCAGAUGAAUACCUAGUGAUGACAUUUAGAGCUUCAUGUUCGCCUCAACAGAGCCAAACGUUAAAAAUAUUAACGCACUUGAGCACCGCAAACGCUAUCCAAAAGCCCACGAUUCUUUCACACAGCAUCAUUAUGCACUUAAAUUGCCAAUGGAGUUAGAGUGGAAUGUAUAUUCCCUAGAAAGCCGGGUUUGAAUUACGUAACUGUUCUUGAAAUUUCUUAGAAGCUAAAAUCGCCUGAAAUGGUUACCAAUCGGAACAAUUGACAGAGAACGUAGUCACAUUAAUAGUAGAACGUGUGUUUGGAAUAUAUUGGCAACCAAGUAACGACGUAUUUAGCUACACACUAAAAUUUCACAACGUAGACCCAAGUCAUCAGUGAAGACAAACGACAGUCCAAAAAGAGCAAUUAACCAUAGUUACGUCAGUAUUUGAUCUGCCUGGGUUUUUAUCCAAAUUUAUGGUCAACGCGAAUUUAUUGGUGUUCGAAUCGUGGCGUUACGAAUUUCAGUGGGAUUAGCCCUACCCAAACCUAUGUGUUAAAAGUGGGACAAGUGUCGCCGUUAGUUAAAGAAUGUUUUGAAUUUUCAGGUCCCCCGUCACUAUUUCACCCGUGGACCACCUGCCGAACUGUAACUUCAUAUCUUCAUAAAUGCCGAGAAUAUCAUCAACUCCAAAACACUCACACAUAUGCCGCUAUCGUCAGACCACGAUAAGCCACUCACUCCGAACCAUUUUCUGCUUGGUAAUGACAAUACUUCACAAACACCAGUCAUCAAUAAUUCCUUCGCGAAACCCUGCGCACUUGGCAAACAGUGGCUCAUCGCCCGACAGUUAAAAGACACGUUUUGGGGACGAUGGAUCCUGGAUUAUUUGUCGACACUUAAACGUGAAAUAAAUUGGUGCGAAAGGGCGAAACCACCAUUUGUAUGCGACGAAACCAUUUGAUUGCGACGUCAAUAUCCCACAGAACAAUGGUGUCGUGGUGGGGUAGAAGCGAUACACCAUGGAUGUGAUGAUAUUAUCAGAAGAGCUGAUGUACGCAGCAGCAGUGGAAUCCUUAGUCGCCUCGUGUCAAAGUUGACCGUUUUGGCCAUGGAGUAAGUAAACCGGAUCGAUUCCCGGAGGAGGCAAUGUAAAAAAACGGCGAUUAGUUGUAACGAAUUUGUAAUUAAUUGUUUAUCAGUUUAUGGUAAGUAUAUCAUGGUGGAUAAAUAGUUUAAGCAUACAAUUGUGAAUUAUCACAGUGUCCUUGUCGUUUGUUUUUGACGUUUGUUUCGGUGUCCAUAUUGUUGGUACUUCGAUUAUAACUCACUCAAUUUCCGAACGCCGAAGAGACUGACUGAGACACUGCGAAAUUCCAAACCUGGAUUCAAAACAAUUGAAACAGACUGUGGAAAGUUUUGAAAAACAGCAGGCAAACCACGUCACAGUUACUGAAGAGUUUGAAGUUGAAGUUACAAUGUGGAAAGGGUAUUUGUAUUUAACUGUGGUAUUUAACUGGUAUCGAAAAAUCACAUUUUUGUACUUAAACUCAUUAAAUUAAAUCAGAAACUCAA